UAGAGUUUUGAUCCUGGCUCAGAGCGAACGCUGGCGGCAGGCUUAACACAUGCAAGUCGAGCGGGCCCUUCGGGGUCAGCGGCGGACGGGUGAGUAACGCGUGGGAACGUGCCUUCUGGUUCGGAAUAACCCUGGGAAACUAGGGCUAAUACCGGAUACGCCCUUUUGGGGAAAGGUUUACUGCCGGAAGAUCGGCCCGCGUCUGAUUAGCUAGUUGGUGGGGUAACGGCCUACCAAGGCGACGAUCAGUAGCUGGUCUGAGAGGAUGAUCAGCCACACUGGGACUGAGACACGGCCCAGACUCCUACGGGAGGCAGCAGUGGGGAAUAUUGGACAAUGGGCGCAAGCCUGAUCCAGCCAUGCCGCGUGAGUGAUGAAGGCCUUAGGGUUGUAAAGCUCUUUUAUCCGGGACGAUAAUGACGGUACCGGAGGAAUAAGCCCCGGCUAACUUCGUGCCAGCAGCCGCGGUAAUACGAAGGGGGCUAGCGUUGCUCGGAAUCACUGGGCGUAAAGGGCGCGUAGGCGGCGUUUUAAGUCGGGGGUGAAAGCCUGUGGCUCAACCACAGAAUGGCCUUCGAUACUGGGACGCUUGAGUAUGGUAGAGGUUGGUGGAACUGCGAGUGUAGAGGUGAAAUUGUG
rnacentral:rRNA from 1 species